AGUUUUCGGUUAAUCUGUACGCUCACGUACAGGCUGCCGGGAAUACUGCAAAGCUAGGGAGUGGGAGAGGUAGACGGUACUCGGUAGGAAGGGGUAAAAUCCUUUGAUCUAUUGAUGACCACCUGUGGCGAAGGCGGUCUACCAGAACACGUCCGACGGUGAGGGAUGAAAGCUGGUGGAGCAAACCGGAUUAGAUACCCGGGUAGUCCCAGCUGUAAACCAUGCAAACUCAGUGAUGCAUUGGCUUGUGGCCAAUGCAGUGCUGCAGGGAAGCCGUUAAGUUUGCCGCCUGGGAAGUACGUACGCAAGUAUGAAACUUAAAGGAAUUGGCGGGGGAGCACCACAAGGGGUGAAGCCUGCGGUUCAAUUGGAGUCAACGCCAGAAAUCUUACCCGGAGAGACAGCAGAAUGAAGGUCAAGCUGAAGACUUUACCAGACAAGCUGAGAGGUGGUGCAUGGCCGUCGCCAGCUCGUGCCGCGAGAUGUCCUGUUAAGUCAGGUAACGAGCGAGAUCCCUGCCUCUAGUUGCCACCAUUACUCUCAGGAGUAGUGGGGCGAAUUAGCGGGACCGCCGCAGUUAAUGCGGAGGAAGGAAUGGGCCACGGCAGGUCAGUAUGCCCCGAAACUCUGGGGCCACACGCGGGCUGCAAUGGUAACGACAAUUGGUUUCGAAUCCGAAAGGAUGAGGUAAUCCUCAAACAUUACCACAGUUAUGACUGAGGGCUGCAACUCGCCCUCACGAAUAUGGAAUCCCUAGUAACUGCGUGUCAUUAUCGCGCCGUGAAAACGUCCCUGCUUCUUGCACA
rnacentral:rRNA from 1 species